CACGGGGCCAGCCCCAUACUUCACUUUUAAAAAGUAUUGGUUCUCCAGAAAGAAGAGUCUGAAACAUAGGCUUAUGUGCAAGUAUUGUAUUGGUUUAAAUCUGAUGUUGAAAAAAGAUACCAGAGUUGACUGAAGCCUCUCAUGUACUCCUCCUGGAGCCCAUUUACCUCUCAGUGUUUUCAAGCCAGUAUCCAAAUCAUAAUUUUGGGAGAGAGGAGCAAUGGACUUUUUGAGAAUUCAGAAUGUAAAGAAAGUGUCCUACCGAUUUUUAAGAAAAUCUAAAAAGAACGAAGAUCCCUAUUAGCUGAGAGACCGAGAAGCUCACAGUCCCCAACGCUACAGACACUCUCAGUAAAUUCAGGACGCACCCUAAUUUGGCAUAAUCUCAUCUUGAUCCUUACCUUAAUUAUGUCUACAAAGACCUGAUUUCCAAAUAGACUCACAUUCUGAGGUUCCAGGUGGAUGCGAAUUUUGAACUCAACUAUAACUGAACAGCUCACACAGAAAUGGUAUUUGUUCAGCUCUAUUAAGGCAAUGUGAAGUAGUGGGAGGUACCUGGACUUCAGAAUAAGAAGAUCUUCAGCUAUAUGUCAAUUGUUUCUCAGUAAAACUAGAAAAGAAGACAAGAUCUCAGGUUUCAGUCCUCUCUUUUCACUUCCAACCUGUGUUACUUUGGAAAUUUUUCUUUCACUUCUUGAAACUUAAUUUUUGCCACGUGCACAAGUUGUUCUCUUCAGCGGGAGAAAUUGUGAAGUUGGGCUUUCAUUUCUUCUUUUAUUGUUUUAAAAACUCAGAUAAAAAUUUUCUUGUUUUC
rnacentral:lncRNA from 1 species